GACCGCAACGAGUGGCUCGGACGGCAGGCGCGGGUGCUCGGUCGCGGGACCGAGUGGGGUCGGGCCGGGCUCCACGCUGAGCGCGGCCCGGAGCAGCGCGAGUCGCAGCCCGAGUCCGAGGCGGAGUCCCUACCCCUUGUACACGCUGUACGCGCAGCGGGACUACAGCCGGUCGGAGAGCUACGGGCGGUCGGGCCGGAGCCGCGGACACAGCCCCGCGUACGCGUGACCACCGACCUCGCACGAUGGAGUCUAACAGGACAGACUGACCGAUCGGUGUACGGAGCUGUCCCGCGCCACUCGUAGCGUUACGUCAAUGAUCUCACCGUCGCGUGUUGGUGCGUGAGCGGCACCAUCAACACCAGCGACGACAACAACGAAUACUCGAUAUCGUCGUAGGUUAACGAACAAUCGACGGAUCAGUGCCUACAAGCUAACGGAGGAGUUUUAGCUAACUUUUCUGGAACUUUGGGUGUACAGUGGAGAGUGUAUUCAGUGGACAUAUGUUGGGGUAACUGUUUGUUGCAAGCUUUUAUUUAACCGGUUUCAACGUUGAAGCCCCGUGUGUUGUUGAGUUUAUUAUUGAGUUUAUUAGUUUAUUCAACUAAUGGACUAUCUAACACCAAAAUGAACUAAGAGCCCUAUCAAAGCGCCACUUACCGCGUGUAAAUUGGACCAUCCAUGGAGUCGCUCAAAACAUAAAACAUUUUAUCGAAACAGUUCAGUCGUCCAGUCCCUAUUAGAAAACCCGUGACAAUCGCUCCGAGAACUAUUAUAAAAGAUUUAUGAUAUCGGUAAACACGUUACCAACUCAUGGCGUGGCUCAUAGGGAUUCAUUUGUUAUAUAUAGACAGGCCCUCGCUCGGGUGUCCCUUUUCCUUCAAUAAAUAUUUUAGACCUUCUAAGGUGCCUCACCGGCUGGCUGUUAGCACUUGCUGGAUUAAGACGCGCCUGCGUUACGUUUAGUGUUAACAAAAAGAGUCUAUCUCACGUUACAAUAACUCAGAAGUUUACGUGCGUACGCGUUGGUUUUCCACUGUUAAAACAGGAAAUUAAUUAAGUAAUCAUUAAAAGUUAGUUUCAAGGUUAUUCGAAAUUCCCUUGAAUGAUGUCAGGUGUUAAGAUAUAUUUUAUUAUCUUUACAUAUUUUAUAACUAGUUGACG